AAUCUUGCGCAAUGGGCGAAAGCCUGACGCAGCAACGCCGCGUGGGGGAUGAAGGCCUUCGGGUUGUAAACCCCUUUCAGCAGGAACGAAUCUGACGGUACCUGCAGAAGAAGGUCCGGCCAACUACGUGCCAGCAGCCGCGGUAACACGUAGGGACCGAGCGUUGUCCGGAUUUAUUGGGCGUAAAGCGCUCGUAGGCGGCUUGGUAAGUCGGGUGUGAAACCUCCAGGCUCAGCCUGGUGACGCCACCCGAUACUGCCAUGGCUAGAGUUCGGUAGGGGAGCGGGGAAUUCCUGGUGUAGCGGUGAAAUGCGCAGAUAUCAGGAGGAACACCGGUGGCGAAGGCGCCGCUCUGGGCCGAAACUGACGCUGAGGAGCGAAAGCGUGGGGAGCGAACAGG
rnacentral:rRNA from 1 species